GUUGGGUAGGGGAGCGUUCUGUAAGCCUGCGAAGGUGGCCUGUGAGGGUUGCUGGAGGUAUCAGAAGUGCGAAUGCUGACAUAAGUAACGAUAAAGCGGGUGAAAAGCCCGCUCGCCGGAAGACCAAGGGUUCCUGUCCAACGUUAAUCGGGGCAGGGUGAGUCGACCCCUAAGGCGAGGCCGAAAGGCGUAGUCGAUGGGAAACAGGUUAAUAUUCCUGUACUUGGUGUUACUGCGAAGGGGGGACGGAGAAGGCUAUGUUGGCCGGGCGACGGUUGUCCCGGUUUAAGCGUGUAGGCUGGUUUUCCAGGCAAAUCCGGUUCACUUUAAAACUGAGGCGUGAUGACGAGGCACUACGGUGCUGAAGCAACAAAUGCCCUGCUUCCAGGAAAAGCCUCUAAGCAUCAGGUAACAUCAAAUCGUACCCCAAACCGACACAGGUGGUCAGGUAGAGAAUACCAAGGCGCUUGAGAGAACUCGGGUGAAGGAACUAGGCAAAAUGGUGCCGUAACUUCGGGAGAAGGCACGCUGACACGUAGGUGAAGUGAUUUACUCACGGAGCUGAAGUCAGUCGAAGAUACCAGCUGGCUGCAACUGUUUAUUAAAAACACAGCACUGUGCAAACACGAAAGUGGACGUAUACGGUGUGACGCCUGCCCGGUGCCGGAAGGUUAAUUGAUGGGGUCAGCGCAAGCGAAGCUCCUGAUCGAAGCCCCGGUAAACGGCGGCCGUAACUAUAACGGUCCUAAGGUAGCGAAAUUCCUUGUCGGGUAAGUUCCGACCUGCACGAAUGGCGUAAUGAUGGCCAGGCUGUCUCCACCCGAGACUCAGUGAAAUUGAACUCGCUGUGAAGAUGCAGUGUACCCGCGGCAAGACGGAAAGACCCCGUGAACCUUUACUAUAGCUUGACACUGAACAUUGAGCCUUGAUGUGUAGGAUAGGUGGGAGGCUUUGAAGUGUGGACGCCAGUCUGCAUGGAGCCGACCUUGAAAUACCACCCUUUAAUGUUUGAUGUUCUAACGUGGACCCGUAAUCCGGGUUGCGGACAGUGUCUGGUGGGUAGUUUGACUGGGGCGGUCUCCUCCUAAAGAGUAACGGAGGAGCACGAAGGUUGGCUAAUCCUGGUCGGACAUCAGGAGGUUAGUGCAAUGGCAUAAGCCAGCUUGACUGCGAGCGUGACGGCGCGAGCAGGUGCGAAAGCAGGUCAUAGUGAUCCGGUGGUUCUGAAUGGAAGGGCCAUCGCUCAACGGAUAAAAGGUACUCCGGGGAUAACAGGCUGAUACCGCCCAAGAGUUCAUAUCGACGGCGGUGUUUGGCACCUCGAUGUCGGCUCAUCACAUCCUGGGGCUGAAGUAGGUCCCAAGGGUAUGGCUGUUCGCCAUUUAAAGUGGUACGCGAGCUGGGUUUAGAACGUCGUGAGACAGUUCGGUCCCUAUCUGCCGUGGGCGCUGGAGAACUGAGGGGGGCUGCUCCUAGUACGAGAGGACCGGAGUGGACGCAUCACUGGUGUUCGGGUUGUCAUGCCAAUGGCACUGCCCGGUAGCUAAAUGCGGAAGAGAUAAGUGCUGAAAGCAUCUAAGCACGAAACUUGCCCCGAGAUGAGUUCUCCCUGAGACUUAGAGUCUCCUGAAGGAACGUUGAAGACGACGACGUUGAUAGGCCGGGUGUGUAAGCGCAGCGAUGCGUUGAGCUAACCGGUACUAAUGAACCGUGAGGCUUAACCUUACAACGCCGAAG
rnacentral:rRNA from 1 species